rnacentral:rRNA from 1 species
GAUGAACGCUGGCGGCGUGCCUAAUACAUGCAAGUCGAGCGAACAGAUAAGGAGCUUGCACCUUUGACGUUAGCGGCGGACGGGUGAGUAACACGUGGGUAACCUACCUAUAGGACUGGAAUAACUCCGGGAAACCGGGGCUAAUGCCGGAUAACAUUUAGAACCGCAUGGUUCUAAAGUGAAAGAUGGUUUUGCUGUCACUUAUAGAUGGACCCGCGCCGUAUUAGCUAGUUGGUAAGGUAACGGCUUACCAAGGCAACGAUACGUAGCCGACCUGAGAGGGUGAUCGGCCACACUGGAACUGAGACACGGUCCAGACUCCUACGGGAGGCAGCAGUAGGGAAUCUUCCGCAAUGGGCGAAAGCCUGACGGAGCAACGCCGCGUGAGUGAUGAAGGUCUUCGGAUCGUAAAACUCUGUUAUUAGGGAAGAACAAAUGUGUAAGUAACUGUGCACGUCUUGACGGUACCUAAUCAGAAAGCCACGGCUAACUACGUG